rnacentral:rRNA from 1 species
CAGUCGCCGCGGUAAUACGAAGGGGGCUAGCGUUGCUCGGAAUGACUGGGCGUAAAGGGCGCGUAGGCGGCUGACACAGUCAGAUGUGAAAUUCCUGGGCUCAACCUGGGGACUGCAUUUGAGACGUGUUGGCUUGAGUGGAGAAGAGGGUCGUGGAAUUUCCAGUGUAGAGGUGAAAUUCGUAGAUAUUGGAAAGAACACCGGUGGCGAAGGCGGCGACCUGGUCUUUAACUGACGCUGAGGCGCGAAAGCGUGGGGAGCAAACAGGAUUAGAUACCCCCGUAGUCCCUGUCUCUUAUAU